rnacentral:rRNA from 1 species
AACGAACGCUGGCGGCAGGCCUAACACAUGCAAGUCGAACGCUCCAGCAAUGGAGAGUGGCAGACGGGUGAGUAACGCGUGGGAACCUACCCUUUGGUUCGGAAUAGCUCAGGGAAACUUGAGGUAAUACAGGAUAAGGCCUUCGGGGGAAAGAUUUAUCGCCAAUGGAUGGGCCCGCGACGGAUUAGCUAGUUGGUAGGGUAACGGCCUACCAAGGCGACGAUCCGUAGCUGGUCUGAGAGGAUGAUCAGCCACACGGGGACUGAGACACGGCCCAGACUCCUACGGGAGGCAGCAGUGGGGAAUAUUGGACAAUGGGCGCAAGCCUGAUCCAGCCAUGCCGCGUGAGUGACGAAGGUCUUCGGAUUGUAAAGCUCUUUUGGCGGGGAAGAUAAUGACGGUACCCGCAGAAUAAGCCCCGACUAACUUCGUGCCAGCAGCCGCCGUAA